UUUGGCCAGAACAACUUGGUGUGGCUCUUUCAACCAGCUUACUGAGGUGGAGUUGCUGAACCUGGAUUGGGACACAGGCUGUGAUCCUUACGUUCAACAUCAACCACUCAGUCCUGGCCACAAACACCACCUCAUCAUAGACUCCCCAGCUUCCAGAACCAGGUCUGCGUCAGAUCUCCUGGCGGGACCAUUCCGCCUUAAAGGUACUCUAGGGUUUGCAUGUGGGUGGGGGUGGGCAACACAAAUGGAACAGGGUCCAAUAAACAGGAAGUGAUUGUGUUUCAAGGUUGGAUUCAGAGCACCGCAUGCAUCUCUCUAGCUGGCUUCCUUGCAAUUCCAGCACUGGGGACCACUGACUCCCUCCCCCAAUAUGUGACAUUUCAAUAUUGGGCACAGGAGAACAGUGACUGAAGAGGACCAAAACUAGAGAUUAAGAUAGGCUAAGGCCAGGCUCUCAGGACAGAACAGGUAAAAUCUGGCUCGCUAUGCUCACAGAGGUUUGAGGAAAGAGCGGUACGUGAGCAGGUGCUGUGGAGGGGUCUCAUUAGGUAGAUGCAUGACAAUCAUUGUCCCACUCCCAGGACCCUCACGGAGGAAA